UACGGAGGGUGCAAGCGUUAUCCGGAUUCACUGGGUUUAAAGGGUGCGUAGGUGGGCAGGUAAGUCAGUGGUGAAAUCUCCGGGCUUAACCCGGAAACUGCCGUUGAUACUAUUUGUCUUGGAUAUUGUGGAGGUAAGCGGAAUAUGUCAUGUAGCGGUGAAAUGCUUAGAUAUGACAUAGAACACCAAUUGCGAAGGCAGCUUACUACACAACGAUUGACGCUGAGGCACGAAAGCGUGGGGAUCAAACAGG
rnacentral:rRNA from 1 species